GACGAACGCUGGCGGCGUGCUUAACACAUGCAAGUCGAACGGUGAUCUUGGGAGCUUGCUCCUGGGUGAUCAGUGGCGAACGGGUGAGUAACACGUGAGUAACCUGCCCCUGACUCUGGAAUAACUUCGGGAAACCGAAGCUAAUACCGGAUAUGACACAGAGCCGCAUGGUUUCUGUGCGGAUAGUUUGUUCGGUUGGGGAUGGACUCGCGGCCUAUCGGGUUUGUGGGGAGGUAAUGGCUCACCACGGCGACGACGGGUAGCCGGCCUGAGAGGGGGACCGGCCACACUGGGACUGAGACACGGCCCAGACUCCUACGGGAGGCAGCAGUGGGGAAUAUUGCACAAUGGGCGAAAGCCGGAUGCAGCGACGCCGCGUGAGGGAUGAAGGCCUUCGGGUUGUAAACCUCUUUCAGUAGGGAAGAAGCGCAAGUGACGGUACCUACAGAAGAAGCACCGGCUAACUACGUGCCAGCAGCCGCCGUAACAC
rnacentral:rRNA from 1 species